CCGGGCGCGUGCGCGCGCCCCCCCCCCUCGUUUUACUCCUCCCCCCCCGCGGGCGCGCGCUGCGGCUGUUGCCAUGAUGAUGGCGUCACGGCCGGCGCUGAGGGGAGGGCGGAGGCGGCGCCAUCUUGGGGGCCGCGCCGCCUCGCCGCGGGAAGAUUUUGGUAUGGACACUACCUCGUUGCGUGCUCUUGCCUUUCUGUUCACGUGAUGGUAGGACUUCCUUGACACCGUACCUUCCAACCACUCCUUAUCAAAGGCAGUAGGAUGUCCGAAGACAUCCUCACAUCUUUAACACUGGCAGCUGUGCUCUGGCACCCCUUCCUGCAUAGGUGUAAGGUGCUACAACAUCAGCACUCCACUUUUGUACUGGGAGGUGCCAAUCCAGUACCAUAUCCUGUUGUUAUAGGCAGCAGGACAUGAGUGUAGCUGCACCUCGGCUGGGUUGGAGUAUAAUCCUAGGCAUUUAAGCUACUGGGUGAUUCUGGCUCCUUCUGAACGAGUGCCAUGUGUGAGGUGUAGGCACAAGUUCACCCCUGCUAGCCUGGCUGAAGGGAAGGCAACCACCCAUGGCAGGGCAGUGUGGGUAGCUGGAACGGGAAACUUCUUAGAAGCACAAAGCAAGAGUCGCUAAAGCACAUCAAUCAGUCUUCUAUUUCAUUACCAAAAAAAUUGUUUAUUAAAUCAGAGAGGGCUGUGUUUUGAAUUAGGAGGAACUGUUGCAAAAAGGAAGACAGUGGGACUGAGACAAGAAGAGUUGAUACCUAACCAAGAGCCAGCUUCCUGUUCCUACAGGCUAUUUAUUCAAUUUCUGAACGUGUUGCAGGGCACUUUAAGCAAAAAUUAAGUGUCUUUCCUUUUUGAUGCAAGUAGCUUGAUCCAAGUGGUAGUCUUAGUCAUGAAGACAUUUAUUGGGUAUUUCCUCCUAGCUGUACUUUUUCAGUUUCUCUUCAUUUCUUAGAACACGCUUUGACUGCAAGGAGGAUAUGAAAGUAGAAUAAAGAAUUGUCUGCAAGGUCACACCGGGGUAAGGAUGUAUUUUCAGAAGGGGUUUGAGUCAGCACUGUCACGAGAGGUCCCCUGCCUCCCUCUUCAUGGUAGUGCGAGUACUGGAAUAGCUGCAUAAUAAAUUGGAUGUGGGAACUGAGCCAGGUAAAAGUGAUCCAACUAAAAAGUUGGGGUUAUGUUUAACCUAGAUCAGGUCCCUCGUCUGCCUCGUUAUGUAGGUGUGUGAGUGUCUGCGCUUGCACAGUGGAAGAGGCGGUGCAGGGGCUGAGUUUGAGCAGCAGGGAGGAAAAAGAGAAUGCUGCUUGCAGCGCUGUUGGCUUGCGGUAGCCUAAGUUGAUCGCUCGUUCAAGUUGCUGAAGUCAAAGAAGUGUUGAUGGUAUUGUCAGUAACCCUUACAGGAGGUGAUGGAAACAAAGUCUGUCUGUGGAUUUCCCUACAUUUCAGCUUGUGUGUCAGGGUUUGCCUUUAGUACGCGCUUUAUUUGUUGUUCGUGCAUGUGUAUACAUACACAUUUUGUUGUAGCUGAUCCCUUGCUACCUGAAGAUGCCAACAUCCUAGGACGUCAAAUAUUGCAAAAGGAAAUGUCGUGGUUAGAGAGCACUGCCACCCAUUUCCCCAGCUGCCUUCAAACUCUGUAUGGACUCUGUAAGGUUUUAGUCAGGUUUAAAGCAAGUCACCCCCUUUCUGUGCUCCUCCAGUUGCUAAGCAGCAGCUGUUCUCCCCGUUAGCCAGCCACGUAUUUGCAUGAAAAUAAUCAAGCUCACGUAUAAAGCUGCUUCUAAUCAUGCGGUUAAACAGCUGUACAGUAAAAAAUGGAGUGCUAGUAGUAUUAGUUAUCACUGUAACUGAUUGCUGUCUUAAAAGGUAGGAUUUCCAUGCAGAGUAAAAUCAGGACAGCUAUGCUCUUUUUUUAACAAGAGACACGUCGGUUUUUUCUUUCUCUUAAUCCAUGCUCCGUUCACAAAAUGAUACCCACGGUUCACAAAAAAUGAUAAAUGCAAAUAUGAGCAGUCAGCUAGCAACUAAACACGGUAGGGGGCAGGGAAAAGACACCUCUUCCAAAUACCUAAUUAUAAUAACAAGAUUCCCCCAAAAUGGUGUUAAAAGGUUAAACUAUCACACAGAAGGUAACAUUUUGUACAGGACAUCUUAACUUCGCAACUGACUUACGUAUCCCUGUUUGCGUGCCUAUUGAUUUCCAAGACAUUGAGUUUUUCGAAGGUCUGUGCUCUGAAAUCUUGGAGUGCUCUCUCUCUCUGCGGAUGCCCUGGAUUUAUUCCAACUGUGUUUCAGAGCGAGGGCCGGGUGAGGGCCGCAUCUUCUCGAGUGUCGAUUCAGGUUACAGAAACACGUUUUCUGCGGGGAGAAAACCUGAGCGCACUGAUCCGGAGUAGUAUCUGGUACACUCGGCGUCCUGAUCUAGACAGUCUGUCUGCAUUGCACAGGAACUGCAUCUCCCUGUGUGCACCACACAGAAUCCAUGGUCUCAUGUUAGGCUCAAAGUUGUCUAGAAAUGCUGAGAAAGUAUAACUUAAAUAUUCCCCUACCUAAAGGAGUAAUAAGGGUCAAGUCUUCUCUCAGGAUUCUUGCUUUGGAGGCUUUUCUUAGUGGUAGGUACCUAGGCCAAGUACAACCUUGAUCUGAUUUGGGAGAUGAAAGAGCAAGGAAAGCUUUCUCUUCUAAGUUAGGCAGAUCUGAGGUUUGAAAACAGAUAAACCUUUCACAUAUGGGUGCCUUAACAGCAGGUUAAUGGAUAAAUUCAUGCACCUGUGCAAAAUAUUAGGAAAGAUUAGUUUCUGGCUGUCUUUAAUGUUUUAAGAAUGGUUAUUAGACUGGGCAUCUUAGGCAAGGCACACAGAAUUGGAGGCAGCGUUGUGCAGUGCCUAUCAUAGCAGUGGCAAGUCAAGUGCUGUGUGGAUGUUAUCAGCUAAAAAUCGAAACACAGCAUAUGAACAGCAGGGAAUUGAGCAACUCCCGAGAUACCGGACUGGCUUAAAGUGCCACUUAGGCUGCAGAAUUCAUUUGUGGAGGUAGCUGUACUUUGGAAAUAGUGCUUAAGAUCCCAAUUCAGGAGAACUCUUAACAAAAAUAAAAGUUCUCGGUGAAGAUACCGGGUAGGCAAUUGGCUCUGAAGUACAGUGCAGUUGGGUUCUACCAGAAGCAGGGCAAUAGCACAUUUCAUUAAAGAUCUUACACCAAUAAUGUCUUGCCACUAAAAACCUGAUGGGAAAACUAAGCUAGGUCUCAAUUACAAAAAUAGUUGAAGUAUCAAAGCAGUAUUCUAGCAAAGACUAGUGCCAUAUGACAAAUUUAGUGGGAGUCAUAAAGAAUUGCUCAUGGGAAAUGAUAGUGGAUGGUGUUGAAAAGAGAACUAUAAAACUGGGAAGUUGUUUGCUAAGUAGAGUCUACCAAUCCAAUGUCUUUGAGCUAGUCUAAUUUAGCACAUAAAUAAAAGUUGCUGGUAACCUUAAAUUUGGAGGAGAAUGGGCAUAUGUAAGAAGAAUUGUCUGUGUUGGAUUUGUGUAGUAGAAAUAUGAUCUCUUGCUAGUAAAAUGUGAGGUUUUGAACUUUAAAAUAGCUGAGAAUUUUUUAAUGUUUCAAUGGAAAGUUAUGCAGGAAUAACAGUUGUUUUUUUUCCCUCCAUCAUUUUCAGGUCUUGCCGUGGCCUCGCAUCAGUGGCAUCAGAAAAAUCUACCAGUGAACAUGCAUACCGGAAAACACUUAAGUAUUCAAGAAAAUGAUACCAUCUGAAAUGUAAAUAUGAAUAAAGAAUUACAUGUAUGUAACAAA